rnacentral:misc_RNA from 1 species
AUUUUUCAGGUACUGUGGAUGCAGCAUCAGAUUUAGUACAAGGUUUCCAUCCUUGGUGUUCCAAAGGUGUCCAAAGCCGUGACUGUUCUUCAUUGGAAGUUUGGCGUUGUAUAGCACUCUUCGCAAGACGUGAGUGCCUGAAUUUUGGAGCAUUCAAAUCAGAAAGAAUGGUGGGUGAGCCAUAGCUAAAAGUAGUAAAGUAAACAGUCAAAAGAACCACAAUAAGACCAGCCAUAGCACCCCCUCCUCUAUGAUUUCCACUCAUGCUGCUUUCUCUUCUUCUUCUUCUUGCUGCAGUGUAUUUUUGGUAUUUGGCUCACCCCCCUAAUGAAAAUAUAAAGCAAAAUAAAGAAAAGGGUGUGCCUAAAAACUCUCAAAAACUUGAAAGUAAGGAAUACAAGAAAGAAAAAAAGCAAUCUUUUUUCAAGGAAGAAAGAGAGAAAGAAAUCAAGAAUCAGUAGGAAGAGUAAAGAGGGGCCAAUAUCAUUAUGAGCCUCAGUAAAAGCAUCUCACAUGGGGGCACCUAUCUCUCCCCUUCCAUAUAAUAUCAACACAUAUACCAAAAAUCAAUGCAUAUAAUAAAACCAAACAAGCAAACAGCAAGC